GGCGGCGAUCGGGCGGGGCGGGACAAAAGCGGCGCCCAGGCUGCCGGGGUGAGUGUGAGUGUGAGAGCGAGAACAGCCCGGCAGGUCCCGAGGCGCCGGCUGGGGACUCUACGCGGAAAGUUCCCAGUCCCCAGCCGCAGGUAAUGGGGAGGGAAUUGAGAGGUUCCCCUGUUUACAUCAGCAAUUGUGAAAGCAUGAUAGCAACAGCUGCGGUAUCCUCUCCCAGGAGCGGGAUUUCCAGUGAUGCUAACAUUCUUUUUCCUUUAAGGUAUUUUCCCUGCCACUGAUCAUGGAAAGAAAUCUUCGAGAAGGGGAAAAAGUUGCACACGGGCCACCGAUCGGCAGGGAUCACCUCAUUAAGGGACUCUAAGCGAGGACAGGAUGCGGGUCGCCCUCCCGGGUGCCAGCAGCACCGGGCCUUGCGAGGCGCUUCCGAUAUCCCUGCGCCUGGUCUGGCCCAGAGCCACGCAGCGGAGGGGAGCGGGCGCUGUUUUCGGCUUUUCCCCCUGACCUUUGGAGCUCUCUCCCCGCCGCGCCCCGCCCCGCCCCGCCCCGGGAUAGACGAGGGCCCAGCGCUGGCGGCGCCGAGCCGGGAACACAAGCGGAGCCCCGAGUGUGCACCGCUGCGGGUAUCUGCCAGCACGUUUGCACGUUUGCACAUUGCAGUUCCUGUGUCCCCCCUCCUGUUCCCCGGCCUCUGGAUCGGCGUGCGCCCCGGCGGAGCCGCCCGGGUGCCUAAGGAAGCGCUUGGCUAGCUCGUGCCCACUCGCGACGCGCGGGGCCGAGCGGGGCCACGCGGCGCAUCCGCGCAGCCAGUGCCUGUGAAGUUAAAACAGCCCGAACUCUUAGUGCCCGAGAGUGGAUUGCAUGCCAAUUCUCCAAGGCAAGAUCCCUAAAUACAUAUAUUUACAGUAACUCAUGGUCUGGUCGCAAGGAACACGUUGUUUAUUCACUGAAACAGCACGAGUUCAGUGUCCUUACGCUACAGGAUACAGGAUAGGAAGGUUCCCUAGCGGCGUCCCUGUAAUGAAUGAUCCAAGAGUAACACCACCACAACCUGCGAGGAAGGCACAGUGGUUUCGGCACAGAGGUUUGUGCCCGUCCCUUCAGUCCGGGAAUUCCGAAGCGCCGGUGUCCACCGGCGUGACCGUGGAUCGGGGCGUGCUCCUGCGAGUCCGGCGAGUUCGUGUCCACCGCCUGGCCGCCCGCCCCAGAAACCUGGCUCCGGGAGAUGGGUCCUGCCUUCCAGUGGGCAGAAGGAAAGGAUGCCAGCAAAAAUGGCUAAUCCUCUUCCAGCUGCAGUAAAUUGACGACUGGCCAAAGCCAAGCGAAACCCGCUGCAGUUAAAAAGAUUUUAGCUUCACGUCUGGGGCUGAGAAUGGAGCGGCAGUAUAUAAAACGACCUGUGGAUCAAUGGAAAGGAGAUCGUAGUGUCUCCGAAUAUUAAUACGAUGUCCUCUAUACCUGCAUUGGAAUUCCCUGUGCGUUGUAACAGUGUUCCAAGAGGAAGCUUUUUAAACAUAUGAAAAUAAGAAUUGCAGAUCUUCUAAGACUCAUUCUUGAGCAUAAGGAAGGAAGGACAGAAACUCCAACAGACCAAGUUCCUGAACAGUGUCCUGAGCUCCAGGCAGGGCUCUUUUUGGUUAGGAAAAGAGAAGACUCACUGAGCUCCUAGAGAAAUGAAGAGCUGGGUGUUGGCCUGGUCAGGGCUUCAGUGUCAAAUAUCUUCCUGUUGGAAGAUAGGAAACAGGAAGCAACCUGUUGGAAAGAUCGACCUGGGAUUUGUAGUGUCAUCAGCUGGGAUUGUGAACUCUGGAAGAACACCAGAGAGACAGAUUUCAUCAUACAAUGUCAAGGAGAACAUGCUUUCUACAGGUAUUUACUGUAUAUUGUACUGCUUACCAUCCACUAUGAUGUCACAGAAAGCUCAAGGAAGGGAUAUCAUCCAGACUCAGUAAAUUCACAACUUGUUUUUCCCAUAAUAUGGGUAUGAAUGAGUGUAAUAAAUAAAAAAGUAUUUUAAAUGGUGUUAAUUUGAACCAACGUAAAUUGCAGAAAUCUUUCCAAAAGCUGUUUUCUUAAAGUUCCUAGUAUUUCCUCCCAUGUUUAGGAUAAGCAUACCUGCUUCUCUUUCUUUCUCUCCAUUGUCUUCUGAGAAAUGCCUAAAAUCCACAAAAGUUGAAUACACUUUAUGGUUUAUUCCUCUUCUCUUCUACUUUGAUUCUCAAUCCAUUGAGCUUAGAUUGUAGCCAAUGUAUAAAUCAAUAGGUUGUAAAUGCAAUUUACAUAGAUUAUCCUGUUGUUUUUUGGUUAUAUGGUCAAGUGUGGGCAAAGUUCAAUAGGUUCCAUUUUUUUGUUCAGUGUGAAAUACCAGAACACCAAAAGCUCUAGAAGAUUCUUAAGGAGAUAUGUAAAUCUUUGAAGAAGAUACAUGAGUACAUGUCAUACUGUUGAGCCAAUGAAAGUACAUAAAUCACAGCUGGAGAGAGUUUCUUUAAUUAGAGAAUGUCCAAUUUACCACAUGGAGAAAAGUAUCUCCUAAGUUUCUUCAUGCCUUCUCUUGGGACUCUUUGGAAUAACAAAGUAACUACUUUAUUUAAGGGAUUUUCCCUUUUAAGACCCUGCUAUUCUAGUUUCUAGAUAAUUUCAUAUUCUUGAUGAAUGUUGAUUUGUCUCUGUUAUGGCUUGUAUCUAGAUGUCCUCCAAAAGCCUCAUGAGGUCAUAGGUGGAGAGUAUCAAAGGUGGCUGGAUUAGGGUGUGUGAUAGGAUUAAGGCUGAGAUGUUGGGAUUAACGGUGCCCCACCCUGGGUGUGGGUGGCACCACCCAAAAGAUGGGUAGCCUGGUUAGAAUAUAAAGGAACAGAAAGAAGUUGCUUUGCUAUUUUGCUGCUUUGCUGCCUUCUACCUGCCCUGCUUUGCCAUGGACUAUUUCUUCUCUGUGAUGCCACUCUGCCAUGCCACCCUGUCUUGGACCCAGCUGACAAUGUACUGAAAUGUCUACAAACUGUGAGCUGAAAUAAACUUUUCUGCCUUUAACUCUGGGUGUUUGAUAUUUUGUCUCAGCAAUGAGAAAAAUAACUAAGACACAUUCCAAAUGAAUAAGUAGCUAUCUUUCCAAUUUCAUUUAAUAAGAGAAUUUGAAAUCUCUUC
rnacentral:lncRNA from 1 species